rnacentral:rRNA from 1 species
UCAAGCAGGCAGAUCCAAUUUUCUGCCACCGAAUACAUUAGCAUGGGAUAAUGGAAUAGGACCCUGUCCUCCUAUUUUCAGUUGGUUUUGGCAGCGCGAGGACUAGGGUAAUGAUUAAUAGGGAUAGUUGGGGGCAUUAAUAUUUAAUUGUCAGAGGUGAAAUUCUUGGAUUUAUGAAAGAUUAACUUCUGCGAAAGCAUCUGCCAAGGAUGUUUUCAUUAAUCAAGAACGAAAGUUAGGGGAUCGAAGACGAUCAGAUACCGUCGUAGUCUUAACCAUAAACGAUGCCGACCAGCGAUUAGGAGACGUUGAAUACAAAACACCACCAUCGGYGCGGUCGUCCUUGGCGUCUCGGUC